rnacentral:lncRNA from 1 species
CUGAUAUCAUAUCUGUAAUUUUUGACAUAUAAAUGAAUAUAAUAUUAAAUAAUAAUAAUAAUAAAUAAAUAAUAUUCUAAUUAAUAUAAUUAUAUCACAUAUCAUUAUUGUAAGAGAAAAUUGAACGAAGAAUAAAGAUCUACUCAUCAAUAUUCGUAUCUUCCUCGAUGUGUAGAUUCUCCUCCGAAUCAUAAUAAUCGAUAUAUGUGUCAACUUCUAUCUCAUCAUUAUUUAUGAACUGAUUGCUGCUCUCUGACUUAUCAAGAUUAUAUAUAAAAUCAGCUUCAACUUCAUUGGACGGCAGAUCAACCCUAUUCAAAGGUGUCGUUACAAGUUCUUCAUCAAUAAAAGGCUCGGCUAAUAUUUGUUCUUCUCACUGAAAAGCUUCUUCUUC